UCCAGAGCUAUGGCAGGCCUGCGCCGGUCCUCUGGUGAACUUACCGGCAGCUGGGACCCACGUUGUUUAUUUUCCACAAGGCCACAGUGAACAGGUUGCGGCAUCUAUGAAGAAAGAUGUAGAUGCCCAAAUACCAAACUAUCCAAACCUUCCAUCAAAGUUAGUUUGUCUCCUUCACAAUAUUACCCUGCAUGCGGAUCCAGAAACAGAUGAAGUUUAUGCACAAAUGACAUUGCAACCAUUAAGCCAGCAAGAACAAAA
rnacentral:misc_RNA from 1 species